rnacentral:rRNA from 1 species
CCUACGGGUGGCAGCAGUGAGGAAUAUUGGUCAAUGGACGAGAGUCUGAACCAGCCAAGUAGCGUGAAGGAUGACUGCCCUAUGGGUUGUAAACUUCUUUUAUAUGGGAAUAAAAUGUUCCACGUGUGGGAUUUUGUAUGUACCUUAUGAAUAAGGAUCGGCUAACUCCGUGCCAGCAGCCGCGGUAAUACGGAGGAUCCGAGCGUUAUCCGGAUUUAUUGGGUUUAAAGGGAGCGUAGGUGGAUUGUUAAGUCAGUUGUGAAAGUUUGCGGCUCAACCGUAAAAUUGCAGUUGAAACUGGCAGUCUUGAGUACAGUAGAGGUGGGCGGAAUUCGUGGUGUAGCGGUGAAAUGCUUAGAUAUCACGAAGAACUCCGAUUGCGAAGGCAGUUCACUGGACUGCAACUGACACUGAGGCUCGAAAGUGUGGGUAUCAAACAGGAUUAGAUACCCUAGUAGUC